CACUGAUCCCUAGUAGCGGCGAGCGAAGCGGGAAGAGCUCAAAUUUAUAAUCUGGCACCUUCGGUGUCCGAGUUGUAAUCUCUAGAAAUGUUUUCCGCGUUGGACCGCACACAAGUCUGUUGGAAUACAGCGGCAUAGUGGUGAGACCCCCGUAUAUGGUGCGGACGCCCAGCGCUUUGUGAUACAUUUUCGAAGAGUCGAGUUGUUUGGGAAUGCAGCUCAAAUUGGGUGGUAAAUUCCAUCUAAAGCUAAAUAUUGGCGAGAGACCGAUAGCGAACAAGUACCGUGAGGGAAAGAUGAAAAGCACUUUGGAAAGAGAGUUAACAGUACGUGAAAUUGUUGGAAGGGAAACGCUUGAAGUCAGACUUGCUUGCCGAGCAAUCGGUUUGCAGGCCAGCAUCAGUUUUCCGGGAUGGAUAAUGGUAGAGAGAAGGUAGCAGUUUCGGCUGUGUUAUAGCUCUCUGCUGGAUACAUCUUGGGGGACUGAGGAACGCAGUGUGCCUUUGGCGGGGGUUUCGACCUCUUCACACUUAGGAUGCUGGUGGAAUGGCUUUAAACGACCCGUCUUGAAA
rnacentral:rRNA from 1 species